CAUAUAGGGGCAUAUAUAUAAUAAUAUUAUAGAGGGACAUAUAAAUACCAAUUGGAAAAGAAAAAGGUGUCCCCAAUUGAAAAGUAUGAGAAAUUUUGUUAUAUAACCAUAGAAAAACUAAAACUAAUAAACUAACUAAACUUCCUCUUCUCUCUCUCCUCAUUUUUUUUUAUAGGUCUUUAGCUGAUAGUUAGUUUUAGUUUUUCUCUUUCUUUUAUUUCACCGUAUCACCAUCCUAGUAUUAAGUAUUCCCUAAGACGGAGACCGAGACUUCUCUCUCUCCUCUUUGAGAUGAGUUGAAGCUUUCAUCGGUGCUCUAUCAGUUCUUUGAUUAUCUUUCUUUGGGUUUUGCCUCUGUGAAGCCGUGCAUCUUUAAGCAGGUUUCGCCGGCUUUGUUUCCGGGAGAAGGUGACUCCUUUAGCAUCCUUCUCGCCGGCUCCUUUCCCGCGUCGUACGAUCUUCUUGUUCGAUGGCGGCUCUGUUUCUUUAGUUUCUCUGGUUUCUUGACUGGUGACUCGGCUUGAUUUCGUAGUUGAUGGCUUGAUGUGACGGAUGAGAUCUCGAUUUGUUCGAUUGAUGCUAUCCGAUGAUCUGAAAUCAAGAGAUGAGCGUGUAUGAAGGGUGAGUGAAGGAUUUCAAUCGUCUGGGUGGUGACUUUGUUUCUGGAUGAGGUCUCGACUUCUCGUGUGACGCUCUCCGGUGAUAAGAAGCAAAGGUGAUGAAGUGGUGAGUUUGGGUAAGCGCUUGCUCCCGGCGAGGUCCGGUGAAGCGCCGUUCAGUUUCCGGCGUGAUUCCCUUUGGUGGUAUCGGUGUGGGAUCUUGUGACGCGUGUCAUGCCUCGUUGUGAGGUUUCAACAUGUUUCUUUUUCGGCGUGACAAAGCAGUGGCACAUCACAGGUUAUGGUUUGGGCCUUUCUUGAAUUCGUUUGAAGUUUGGGCUAGUGUUGGGCCAUUAAGUUUAGUUUCUUUCGUUUGGAUGUUUGUGUUUCAACCUUAUCGCUAGGUUAUUGUUUGUAUUUGGACUUUUGUCCUUUUAUAAUAAUAUUAUCAGAUGGAAAAAAAAAAGUAUUCCCUAAAACUUGAAAUUUACGUAUUUAUUGAAUCACUCAAGUCUUGUAUAUGUUUCUCAAAAAAAAAAAUGGAAGUGAAAAAAUAUGAUCAUUGAAGCGAAAAAUUCUCUUUUUUCUUUCUCUUUCCAGUAAAACUCUCUCGAGCUUUCUCGUCGGCAUGUACCAUCUCCAACCUCGGUGGUUUCCGCCGUCAUCGGAAGGGUUUCUCCUUCCCCUUCCUUUUUUCCAUCUUGCCUCUUCCGUCACUUCGACUCCUUUUCAAGAUAUCAAAGCUCUAGCGAGGCUGUUCGAUUUUUGAUCCCUAAAUUUGGGACGCCAGUGACGGAUCCUCUUGACAGCAGCUUUUCCCGGAGUGGCAAUGAGUCUAGGAGUUGAAGGAAACGGUCAUGGUUGGCGUUUAGGUUGGCUUCAAGCUUACGAGGGUUUUUCAGAUCCUUUCCUUGAUCUGUUUUUAGGCUGGUGGUAGUGGCGCGUCAGCUCAUGAUUGAACUCCCCCGGUUCGGAUCUAUUUUCUCGGGUCUUUGUCAGUGUGGUUUGAUUGUGAUAGGCGUCCUAUCAUCCGCCUUAGAGUCUCGGUGAGGAGUUGCUUACCAUUACUCGGUGUGGACCUAGGUGGAUGCUUUUCACUAGGGUGUGCGUCGGAUUAGAUAUCUUGGCGGUGUCAUGUGCUAUUUCUCGGAGCGCGUGUAGGUCAUCGACUUGGUGGCGCAUGGAUUUUUCCAUGCUUUGUUGUCAUCCUCUCGAUCUUCUCUGUUUCAUUUUUUGUUUGUGUCUACUUGCGGGUUUUUCAGGUCUUGCACCCUCACUGAAGGUAGCUCAUGUUGUUUUUUGGGCAUAGGUUCUUACUUCAUAGUUCCGCUGAGCCUAUUCUGUCACCUUAGCUCUUUUAUUUGGCUUUCGGAGAAUCUGUCUCUUGUUAUAAGAGAAGAAGUGUGUGGAUGUUUAGUGAGCUCAGUGGUCAGAAACGCUCAUUUACCAUUUCGUGAUGGCGCGCUCGGAUCUCCUUCUUCCCAGAAUCAAAGCCUGUCACUUGAAAGUUCUCGAUUGGAGGAACCCUUUUUCUUGCCUCUUGUUUUGUAGCAGCUCUUGGUAUGGGUUCAUAAACCUUCAUCUUAGUAAGUGCUAAAUGAAUGGAGCAAGAACGGCGAGGAGGAGAAAUUGGAGCUUUGCUCCUAACCGGAUUAACUUCAAUCAAUUCCAGAAGAAGAAAUUGGGCCCGGGGUUGUUGAAAAGCAGCCUGACUGUGUCAUCUCCCCGACGUUACUAGAUCAAUAGUUGUACUGAAUUUUGUUUCGAUCCCUUAUUGUUUCUUGUAUUUACUGACUAAUUUUAGGAUUUUUUAAUAAAUAUAAUUAUUUUUAAAAAAAUGUAAGUGAAUAAAUGAAAAAUAACAAACGAGGAGUUGACUUUAUAUACUU